CGCGAAUGUUUUUUGAAACCUGCCCGGCAACGGACGACGCGAUCAUGUGCUGCCAUGCAGCAGCAGCAGCUGACAGAGUUUUCGAUUGGACUAGACUGAGUUUAAGGAGUUUUUUAACCCAAAGACAGUGAAGUAUGGAAGGGGAGAUUUGGAGGUAUCUGGUCAGGCCUUUGUCAGCCUACAAAUCCCAGAUGUGGAGACUGCAGGGAUAUCUCACGGAGAGGACACUAAAGACCCAUCUCUCAUUCAUCGAGUGGACUCAUUGGUUUGCGAAUGACCACAAAGAUGCUCCCAUGGGCAGAUUGCUGCAUGGCAUUUGCCACUUAUUCAAAUUGUAGAGGUUGAAGCAGUCUUCAUUGUGGUCACUUGCCAUAACACUGUCAUGUGUUUUAUCAAAACAACAUCAGUAACAUUUAAAUUGAGUUGAUGUGGACGGCUCUUUUUUUUUGUCCGAUUUUUUCAGUGUUCAGUGCCUGUUUGUGAGAUAUGCAUUGUUUGAAAGAUAAGCCUUUGAUUUUGUUUAAUUUUAAUAUGCCUUUCAUCAACAGUGGUUUGGGGUUUUAUAACAACAAUUAAAAUGAUUAACUACUGGUGAACGAAGUUGCAGAACAUAUAUGGUACAAGUUUGUGUUGAUUGCAUGGAAAAGGGAAUAACCAGUUAUAACUUAUAUGGUAAGAGCCUGGUAAUACCAUGGAAACAAACCAGGCUUCCAUUUACACUACAGUUUCAGCUUACUCAGUGGUUAAAUUGUCAUGUUUUACUUAGUAACGUCGCAGAACGCACAUGGUACAAGUUGGUGUUGACUGCAUGGAAAAGGGACUUAUGUAUUACAAAUUAUAUGGUAAGAACCUGGUAAUACCAUGGAAAUAAACGAGGCUUCCUUUUACAGUACAUUUUCAGCUUACUUACUUGGUAAACUGUUGUGUUUUACUUGGUAACGUCGCAGAACGUGCAUGGUACAAGUUUGUGUUGACUGCAUG
ensembl:lncRNA